CACAGCUCUGCUCUUUCAUAGGAUGGCUUGAGGCACAGGGCUAAGCACCUGAUGGAGACUCCGUGCAUUAGCAGGUAACUGUGCUCUGUGGGAAUACAAAUCACCCGUGAACCCAGCCUCUCUACACUUGAUGGUAACCACAGAGCUCUGCUAGACACGCAGCAUUAGCAGGUGAGCCUGGGUCGUGAGCCUAUGAAGACAGCUGUUUUACAUGCAUUGAGAAGGAGGCAUGAAAGGCGCCUACAAGCAUGCUAGCUUAUUUCUUUUUCCAAAUGCCCUCAGCUGCCCUAAUGACACACUCUGUGUGUGUGUGUGUGUAGGCAGACAGAGCAGUAAGGAGAAGAGAGAGGUGGGAGAGAAAAAAGAGAGGGGGAAAGCAUUGGAGGAAGUGGGGGUGGGGGAGACAGGGAGCUGGUCACCUUUUGUUUCAAGGUGGGCUGUUACAUACAGCCAAGAAUGCCUAGCCUGCUAAAAUUCCAUCUGAUGCCUGGCAACACCCGAGAUGGCAUGGCAGAGGAUAUGAAAACACAAAACAAAGGAAACCUUUACCCAUGCCGUGCUUAAAGAGAACAAGCCUGGCAAUAAACACUUGAGCAUUUGGAGAA